rnacentral:rRNA from 1 species
GGCCAGACUCCUACGGGAGGCAGCAGUGGGGGAUAUUGGACAAUGGGGGAAACCCUGAUCCAGCGACGCCGCGUGAGUGAAGAAGUAUUUCGGUAUGUAAAGCUCUCUCAGCAGGGAAGAAAGAAAUGACGGUACCUGAGUAAGAAGCCCCGGCUAACUACGUGCCAGCAGCCGCGGUAAUACGUAGGGGGCAAGCGUUAUCCGGAAUUACUGGGUGUAAAGGGAGCGUAGACGGUUAAGCAGGUCUGGAGUGAAAGGCGGGGGCCCAACCCCCGGACUGCUCUGGAAACUGUGUAACUAGAGUGCAGGAGAGGUAAGCGGAAUUCCUAGUGUAGCGGUGAAAUGCGUAGAUAUUAGGAGGAACACCAGUGGCGAAGGCGACUUUCUGGACUGUACCUGACGCUGAGGCGCGAAAGCGUGGGUAGCGAACGGGAUUAGAUACCCCUGUA